UAAAAAUUAAAUUUUUCUUUCCCCCAAAUCAGAAAGAAAAUCUGUAAAAGUGAAAAGUUGUGGUGGACUUUUCUCUUAAGAACUAAUCGAAGCAUGCAGUACUUUUCUCUGAAGAACUGAUAGGAGAGUUGAAGUUAAAGUCUGAAGAACUGACGGAAGAGCUGAAGCUAUGUCUCUCCGUCACAGAUGAGCUGAAGCUAUAUCUAUCAGAUUUCUCGUUGAAGAACAUGAUUUCUCGUUGAAGAGCUUCUCGAUGAAGAACACGAUUUUUUUCAUAGUCCUCGCCGAAGAACACGAUUUUGUUGGUACAGGUUUUAUCAGCUCAAAAUUGUCCAUCUACGGAUAGGAAUGAGAAGCAGGAAGACGGGGAGAAAGUGAUAAGUGGUUUAUUGGACGGAAGUGGGAAUAUACUCUUUUAUAUGAGGAUAAUGAAGGUGACAGGAUGCUUGUUGGGGAUGUUCCUUAGAAUCGUAUUUGGAAUGAAACGUGGCUGGAUGGAUUCUUUUACAAACCAUGCAACCAUGAUUUAUUUGUCAAGCACACUCUUAAAAUGGAAAUGGUCAUUGUCAUGGCAAGGGAAGCUGGCGUGGACUUGCUCUUUCAUCUUGAUACUGAUGAGCUAGUGCAUCCAGCUGGAACUAGUGAGUAUUCUUUAAGGAGACUUCUAGCAGAUAUACCUGAAAAUGUUGACAUGGUCAAAUUUCCUAACUAUUGUUGAGAGAGAUGAUGUGAAGGAACCUUUUAGUGAAGUCUCGAUGUUCAAGAAGAUUCUAUGACCUUCUCACAAAAGAAAUGUACUUUGGACACUACAAGGAAGCAACUCGUGGUAAUCCUAACUACUUUUUGACUUACGCAAAUGGCAAAUCAGCUGCUCGAAUUCAAGAUCAUCUUCCUCCUAAUGGUGCUCAUAGAUGUCACAACUCAAUGAAAAGCCCAAAGUGAUCAAAUUUGAAGGGUCGCCACAAGUCAAUUUGAUCUCAUUGAAGUGGAAGUGGAUAUAAAGAGUUUUCGAAAUAUCGUACAAGUUUGAAUACAUUAUAUUUGAUUUUGGAAAUAUAUUCAUUGCUAGAAUAUAUUGAACUAUUGUAAGAGUACUUUUUGAACUAUUAUGUACAGACAUCUAGAAUAUUGCUUUAUACUUACAUAAGACAACUAUCUUUUGAAGUUUAUUGCAAAUCCAUAUAUUUGAAUUACUUAUUGGCU